UAGUGACAAAGGUAAACUCUGAGUGAUCAGGGGGCGCAAAGUAGUGGAUCUUUUAAGCCUAUAAGGAAGUGGUUUAAAAAAGCCAUAUUUGCAGGAAUAAAGACAGCCUUACUACCGAA
rnacentral:ncRNA from 1 species